rnacentral:rRNA from 1 species
UACGGGGGGGGCUAGCGUUGUUCGGAAUUACUGGGCGUAAAGGGCGCGUAGGCGGCCUACUAAGUCGGACGUGAAAUCCCUCGGCUCAACCGGGGAACUGCGUCCGAUACUGGUGGGCUCGAAUCCGGGAGAGGGAUGUGGAAUUCCAGGUGUAGCGGUGAAAUGCGUAGAUAUCUGGAGGAACACCGGUGGCGAAGGCGGCACCCUGGGACCAACCUGACGCUGAGACGCGAAAGCAUGGGGAGCGAACGGG